rnacentral:rRNA from 1 species
CCGCGUGAGGGAAGAAUGCCUACGGGUUGUAAACCUCUUUUAUCAGGGAGGAAUAAAAUGACGUGUACCUGGUGAAUAAGCAUCGGCUAACUCUGUGCCAGCAGCCGCGGUAAGACAGAGGAUGCAAGUGUUAUCCGGAAUUACUGGGCGUAAAGCGUCUGUAGGUUGUUAAACAAGUCAACUGUUAAAUCUUGAAGCUCAACUUCAAAACCGCAGUCGAAACUGUUUGACUAGAGUAUAGUAGAGGUAAAGGGAAUUUCCAGUGGAGCGGAGAAAUGCGUAGAUAUUGGGAAGAACACCGAUGGCGAAAGCACUUUACUGGGCUAUUACUGACACUCAGAGACGACAGCUAGGGUAGCAAAUGGGAUUAGAUACCCCAGUAGUCCUAGCCGUAAACUAUGGAUACUAGAUGUUGAACAGAUCGACCUGUGCAGUAUUAAAGCUAACGCGUUAAGUAUCCCGCCUGGGAAGUAUGCUCGCAAGAGUGAAACUCAAAGGAAUUGACAGGGGCCCGCACAAGCGGUGGAGCAUGUGGUUUAAUUCGAUGCAACGCGAAGAACCUUACCAGGGUUUGACAUGAUACGAAUUCUUGUGAAAGCGAGAAGUGCCGUUUGGACCUAUACACAGGUGGUGCAUGGCU